AGAGUUUGAUCCUGGCUCAGAAUCAACGCUGGCGGCGUGCCUAACACAUGCAAGUCGAACGAGAAAGUGGAGCAAUCCAUGAGUAAAGUGGCGACCGGGUGAGUAACACGUGACUAACCUACCUCCGAGUGGGGAAUAACUCCGGGAAACCGGGGCUAAUACCGCAUAACAUCGCAAGAUCAAAGCAGCAAUGCGCUUGGAGAGGGGGUCGCGGCUGAUUAGCUAGUUGGCGGGGUAACGGCCCACCAAGGCGAAGAUCGGUAUCCGGCCUGAGAGGGCGCACGGACACACUGGAACUGAAACACGGUCCAGACUCCUACGGGAGGCAGCAGUGGGGAAUUUUGCGCAAUGGGGGAAACCCUGACGCAGCAACGCCGCGUGGAGGAUGAAGCCCUUUGGGGCGUAAACUCCUUUCGACUCGGAAGAUUAUGACGGUACGAGGAAGAAGACCCA
rnacentral:rRNA from 1 species